GAUCAUGGCUCAGAUUGAACGCUGGCGGAACGCUUUACACAUGCAAGUCGAACGGUAACGCGGAGAGAAGCUUGCUUCUCACCGGCGACGAGUGGCGAACGGGUGAGUAAUACAUCGGAACGUGUCCGCUCGUGGGGGACAACCAGCCGAAAGGUUGGCUAAUACCGCAUGAGUUCUACGGAAGAAAGAGGGGGACCCGCAAGGGCCUCCCGCGAGCGGAGCGGCCGAUGACUGAUUAGCCGGUUGGUGAGG
rnacentral:rRNA from 1 species